rnacentral:piRNA from 1 species
UGUAAAAGUUAGUACAGUAGGCCCUAAA